rnacentral:rRNA from 1 species
UUCGCAAUGCCCGAAAGGGUGACGAAGCGACGCCGCGUGCGGGAAGAAGGCCUUCGGGUUGUAAACCGCUGUCGGGAGUUAAGAAAUGUAAGGAUGUUAAUAGCAUCCUUGCUUGACUAAGGCUCCGGAGGAAGCCACGGCUAACUCUGCGCCAGCAGCCGCGGUAAUACAGAGGCGGCAAGCGUUGUUCGGAAUUAUUGGGCGUAAAGAGCACGUAGGCGGCUACGUAAGUCGGUUGUGAAAGCCUUCCGCUCAACGGGAGAACAGCAUCCGAUACUGCAUGGCUUGAGUGCGGGAGGGGAGAGUGGAACUUCUGGUGGAGCGGUGAAAUGCGUAGAUAUCAGAAGGAACGCCGGCGGCGAAAGCGGCUCUCUGGCCCAUAACUGACGCUGAGUGUGCGAAAGCUAGGGGAGCAAACGGGAUUAGAUACCCCGGUAGUCCUGGCCGUAAACGAUGGGCACUAAGUAGAGGGGUUUU